CCAGCCCCCACCACACGUCCACCAUGACGCCAUCGACGCCGGCCUCCGUCAGCUUCUUCAGCUGUGCCCGGGUCUCAUCGACCUUCUCGAACUUGUUGUCCACAGUCACCACAUCCAGCUACAUAUCUCGCAACAGAAUUCAGGACGCUCAUGGGCUAUUUAUACUUGCAAAAAGGAGAGGGGGGCUCUUCUCCACCGGCGGGAACCAACCAAUCCUUUUCUUCCAGUUCCAUGGUAAUAGAAGCUCUUUGUGAAAUUGGGGAUCCAAAUGGUUCGGAUGUUGAUGCAAUUUGCCACUACAUAGAGGUUGUGCAUCUGCACAAAUUUUCUUAUUUGGUAUCACUAUUUGCCAGUAGUUAUUUUUAUUUCUUCUGAAUUCAUUCAAGUUUUGUUCGUUCUUGAUUUCGUAAUAAAUUAUGAUUCAGAUAUGUGUACAACUAACAUGAUCAGAAUAUUAACAAAAUGCGAUUGCUUGAUUCUUUUUCUCUUCUGAAUCAUUGCCUGAUUGACUGUAUGGUAUAAAGUCCCUCAGUUAUUGGUAUAUAUGUGUGCCAUUGUGUUUAUUUCAGCUUCCUAUACUUUAGGAAGCUUCUAAAAGUGCCUUUGCUACUACCGGAGCUUUCACUUUGGAUUUUAUAAUAAUUUCCUGCACAACUACCAUUUCCCAUUUCCCGCUAUCUUCCUCGCAUAAUCAAUAGCUGGGUACACAUUUAGGGCCUCUGCAUGACGAGUUGAUGACUAUGCAUAACAUUGGUUGGAGGAUAGGGAAGCCUCACUGAGCUGCCUCACUGAGCUAUCUUCUCAGCAUUUGUUUUGAUUUGAGGGAAAUUUGCGAUUUAAAGAUUUUGCAAUUAUAACUCUGCAUCAAGCCCAUAAUUCAGAUUCUUCAUUUUACUUCUCUUUUGUAAAAUUGGCAUUCAAUAACUCAAUUUACAAUUAUUCA